rnacentral:rRNA from 1 species
GUUGGGGAUGGGCUCGCGGCCUAUCAGCUUGUUGGUGAGGUAGUGGCUCACCAAGGCGUCGACGGGUAGCCGGCCUGAGAGGGUGACCGGCCACACUGGGACUGAGACACGGCCCAGACUCCUACGGGAGGCAGCAGUGGGGAAUAUUGCACAAUGGGCGGAAGCCUGAUGCAGCAACGCCGCGUGAGGGAUGACGGCCUUCGGGUUGUAAACCUCUUUUAGCAGGGAAGAAGCGUAAGUGACGGUACCUGCAGAAAAAGCGCCGGCUAACUACGUGCCAGCAGCCGCGGUAAUACGUAAGGCGCAAGCGUUAUCCGGAAUUAUUGGGCGUAAAGAGCUCGUAGGCGGUUUGUCGCGUCUGCUGUGAAAACCCGAGGCUCAACCUCGGGCCUGCAGUGGGUACGGGCAGACUAGAGUGCGGUAGGGGAGAUUGGAAUUCCUGGUGUAGCGGUGGAAUGCGCAGAUAUCACGAGGAACACCGAUGGCGAAGGCAGAUCUCUGGGCCGUUACUGACGCUGAGGAGCGAAAGGGUGGGGAGCAAACAGGCUUAGAUACCCUGGUAGUCCACCCCGUAAACGUUGGGAACUAGUUGUGGGGGCCUUUCCACGGUCUCCGUGACGCAGCUAACGCAUUAAGUUCCCCGCCUGGGGAGUACGGCCGCAAGGCUAAAACUCAAAGGAAUUGACGGGGACCCGCACAAGCGGCGGAGCAUGCGGAUUAAUUCGAUGCAACGCGAAGAACCUUACCAAGGCUUGACAUACACCGGAAACGUCUGGAAACAGUCGCCCCUUUUUGGUCGGUGUACAGGUGGUGCAUGGUUGUCGUCAGCUCGUGUCGUGAGAUGUUGGGUUAAGUCCCGCAACGAGCGCAACCCUCGUUCUAUGUUGCCAGCACGUUAUGGUGGGAACUCAUGGGAUACUGCCGGGGUCAACUCGGAGGAAGGUGGGGAUGACGUCAAAUCAUCAUGCCCCUUAUGUCUUGGGCUUCACGCAUGCUACAAUGGCCGGUACAAAGGUAUGCAAUACCGUGAGGUGGAGCGAAUCCCAAAAAGUUAGUCCC